rnacentral:rRNA from 1 species
CCUACGGGAGGCUGCAGUGAGGAAUAUUGGUCAAUGGCCGCAGGGCUGAACCAGCCAAGUCGCGUGAGGGAUGACGGUCCUAUGGAUUGUAAACCUCUUUUGUCAGGGAGCAAAGGGCGCCACGUGUGGCGCUUUGCGAGUACCUGAAGAAAACGCAUCGGCUAACUCCGGUCCAGCAGCCGCGGUAAUACGGAGGAUGCGAGCGUUAUCCGGAUUUAUUGGGUUUAAAGGGUGCGCAGGCGGAAUGUCAAGUCAGCGGUAAAAUUUCGGGGCUCAACCCCGUCGUGCCGUUGAAACUGGCGUUCUUGAGUGAGCGAGAAGUAUGCGGAAUGCGUGGUGUAGCGGUGAAAUGCAUAGAUAUCACGCAGAACUCCGAUUGCGAAGGCAGCAUACCGGCGCUCAACUGACGCUCAUGCACGAAAGCGUGGGUAUCGAACAGGAUUAGAUACCCGUGGAGUC